rnacentral:rRNA from 1 species
GACGAACGCUGGCGGCGUGCUUAACACAUGCAAGUCGAGCGGAGCGGCGAACGGGUGAGUAACGCGUGAGUAACUGCCCCCCUCUCUGGGAUAACAGUUGGAAACGGCUGCUAAUACCGGAUAGUGGGGGAUGAACCGCGUCCUAUCAGCUUGUUGGUGGGGUAGUGGCCUACCAAGGCGACGACGGGUAGCCGGCCUGAGAGGGCGACCGGCCACAUGGGGCUAAGAUAGGGCCCAAACGCGAACGGGAGGCAGCAGUGGGGAAUAUUGUACAAUGGGGGAAACCCUGAUGCAACAACGCCGGGUGUGGAAUGACGGUCUUCGGGUUGGAAACCGCUUUCAGCCAUGACGCGGUAGUGGCAGAAGAAGCACCGGCUAACUACGUGCCAGCAGCCGCGGUAAUAC